CCAAAGUGCCAUACUUUUGGCGGACCGAGGGAGUAUUAUUUUCUCACUCAUUCAUCGGUCUCUCCACUCAUCCAUCGGUCUCUUUGAAAAACUAAAAAUCAUAUCUCAAAAACUAAAAAUCAAAUCUUGCUACGAUCGUGCCUUCAUCGCCGGUGUCUCCACUGCCGCUGCCAACGAUCGUGCCUUCAUCGCCGGGCGCAUUCGUCACCCGAAGUCUCACCGUGGGAGACAACUGACAGCGGCGCUCGGCUGCCCAAGCCCCAAUUUCAUCCCCAAAUCCAAGCCCUCCGAUCCCCCAUCACCCGAUGGCCCGUGCCGGGCGCAUUUGUCACUCGAAGUCUCACCGUCGGAGACAGCUGACAGCAACGCUCGACUGCCCAAGCCCCAAUUUCAUCCCCAAAUGCAAGCCCUCCCCCGUCGCCGAUGGCCCGUUCCGUCUCACUCAUCAGUUCUCCCUACGAAUCAGAUAUUGCUACGCUAUCUCUCACUGUGCCAUGGAUUCUCCACCGCCGACUCCUUCUCUCAACAUUGCCGCCGCCAACGACCGGUAAUGGCACCAGCCUCCGAGGGAUUCACAAAACAUUCCAGGACGCCCACAUCUCCUCAUCGGCGCCGCCGAUCCCUUCCAACGCUGGUUUAUCGCCGCCUCCUCUGCCAUGCCAACGCAAUGUACCUUUCUUUUCUUUUGCCGCAACCGGAUCCCUUACGGUGAGAUUCUCAUUGCUGAGCUAUUGAUGGUGAAAAGAAUAGGUUGUGUUUGUUCUUCAUACUUUGAGGUUCUAAUUUUUGUUGUUUGGUUCAUUCAGUUUCAUGUUUCUUUCCGACCAAGUAAGUUUGAUCUUCUGGCCCCAUGACAUAACUGAAAGCAUAAGCUGCUUCUUUACAUUGUUAUAUCCUACCUUGCACUUAUUUGCCUCUUGGGUAUUUACUGAUCAGUAUAAUAUUACUUGGUCAGUCGUCAUUUCUCUAGAAUAUUAGUAUCAUUGUUUAGUUCGUGGAUAUAACUCUAAUAUUUUCCAUGAGUGACAUAGUAUUAGAUUAUUUGAGAUGUAAUAUUAUAACUUUUUUUGUUGGCUUCUCAGUAAAGUUGCGGAUUUUUAUGUUGGUAUAAUUCAUCUUUAAGAAUAUGUGAAUGGUGUUGUAGUUCAUUAUUCAAGUUUCUAUGGUGAGUCAUUUUAAUUAAGAGGAGAGCUUGCUUUAUGAUUCUUGCUUGCAGCAAUACACUGGCACCUUGCGAAGAAUUUGAUACACCUAGCAUGGUCAUUGCAGGAGUGUGUUGCUGCUGCAGAUGUGGAACUAUUAUCAUUGUUUUUCAAUUGUUGAGUUUUGUUCUGUCAACUUUGUUGUCAGUUUUCUAAAUAGAUAACCUUUAUUUUCUAACAUGUCCAGGAAUAUUGCAGGACAAGAGAGAUUUAGGAGUCUCAUCCCAAUAUAAUAUAAGAGACUCCUUUGUUGCAGUCAUAGUUUAUGAUGUUGAACCACGUACAGUCAUUGCUCUGCAUGCUCUCAGUGGUAAAGCUUUAUUAAGCUGCUUCUAUUGUUUUAUAUGUUCAAGCUGUUUAAAAUUCUCGGUUGCAUGGGAGCACGAACAAUUUUCAAGGCUGAGAGCUACUGCUGCAACACUGUCCGAGCUUUCUGUCGCACCUGAUUUUCUAGAAAGUGCUGGAGGUCUGUCAGAUAGCAGGUUGUAACUCGAGGAAUGAGAAUCGCUUAUUUUUGUCUUUAAAUUUAGAUCUCCUCUCUUUUCUUUCCUGUAUGAAUCUUUCUUUAGUCAACCAUGGUCACCUCUGCAGUCAUUUUGUUGAUGAAGAUUCAAUAACUAAUAUGGGUGCAAAGUUUCCAUAUUGGACUUCGUGGUAAUUCUUUAUUUGUUCUUUACGCAUCCGUAGGAAUAUCAUCACCAAUUGGUUGGUGGUCCAUUCAUUCAGACACCAAUUUAGUUUGUAUUUGGAUUUAUUGGAUUUUUCAUACUAUGAAAACUGAGAUUUUAGUGGGUGGCGGGUAUCCGACGGAUAACUGGUGGCUGAUAUUCGACGGGUAGCAAGUUGGUGGAUACCCGACGGGUGGCGGGUAUCUGCGGGUAGCGGCGGGAUGUCGACACCGAGAAACAGCAGCUCCCCUACCUCUCAAGCCUCAACGGGUAGUGGGUGGCGGGUAUCCAACGGGUAGCGGAUGAUGGAUACCCGACGGGUGGCGAGUAUCCGCUGGUCGCGGUUAUGGAUGGGAAAUGAUUUUUUUGAAUAUAUGUUUCGCUAAAUCAUGUUAAGGAUGAAAGUCCUCUUUAAUUUAUUUUUUCAUUUUAGUUUGAUGUGUAAAUUAUAAAUUAUUUUUACUUCUUUUUAAUAUAAAUUAUAACAUCAAAUGAUACCCGUCGAAAUUCGACGGGUUACACACUA